GAAAUGCGAUAAGUAGUGUGAAUUGCAGAAUUCAGUGAAUCAUCGAAUCUUUGAACGCACAUUGCGCCCCUUGGUAUUCCAUGGGGCAUGCCUGUUCGAGCGUCAUUUGUGCCCUCAAGCUCUGCUUGGUGUUGGGUGUUUGUCCCCGUCUCCGCGCGUGGACUCGCCCCAAAGUGAUUGGCAGCCGGCGUACUGGUCCCAGAGCGCAGCACAUGUCGCGCAAACGAGUGCCUUGGUACGGCGGCGUCCAUAAGCCCCUCUCUCACGCUCUUGACCUCGGAUCAGGUAGGGAUACCCGCUGAACUUAAGC
rnacentral:misc_RNA from 1 species